CUUUCCUAAUGCCCACAUUCCUGUAUUUUUAAGAAAGUCACAUCGACAAAACUGCAGCUAGAAUUAGGUAGAUCCAGCUUACCGUAUGAAUUGACAACCAAAAAUUUAAGCACUGUGAUAGCAGCUAGAAGGUGGCGUAAAGUAAAUAAAGAAGAUCAUUACAAACAGAUGGUGUGAAAGAUUAGGCGGAUCGUUUAUUUUCUAUGUUGAUCGAAACACGCCGCUGUGGACUACUACGUAUAUUAUUGAAUCCAACAGUUUUGUAAAAGGUUUUAAUAUGAUUUAUAAUGGUAAAUACCAGUUUUUAUAGUAGGAAAACCGGUACUAAGCAACACAUAUUGUUGAAAAAUACAUAUCAUUGUUUGAAAGCUC